rnacentral:rRNA from 1 species
UACGGAGGGGCUAGCGUUGUUCGGAAUUACUGGGCGUAAAGGGCGCGUAGGCGGCGCGGUAAGUCACUUGUGAAAUCUCUGAGCUUAACUCAGAACGGCCAAGUGAUACUGCAGUGCUAGAGUGUGGAAGGGGCAAUCGGAAUUCUUGGUGUAGCGGUGAAAUGCGUAGAUAUCAAGAGGAACACCUGAGGUGAAGACGGGUUGCUGGGCCAACACUGACGCUGAUGCGCGAAAGCCAGGGGAGCAAACGGG